UUUUCGGAGAGUUUGAUCCUGGCUCAGAGUGAACGCUGGCGGCGUAGAUUAGGCAUGCAAGUCGAGCGAUACUUUUUUCUUGAGAUGGUGAAGCCGCAAGGCUGAUCUGUUGAGGGAGAAAAGAUAUAGCGGCAGACUGGUGAGUAAUACGCGAGUAAUUUACCUUUAAGUCGGGGAUAGCCUUGCGAAAGUGAGGGUAAUACCCGAUGUGUUUACGGCUGCAUAAGUAGCUGUAAGUAAAGGAGGCUCGUAAGAGUUUCCGUUUAGAGAUGAGCUUGCGUCCUAUCAGCUAGUUGGUAGGGUAACGGCCUACCAAGGCUUUUGACGGGUAGCUGGCCUGAGAGGGUGGUCAGCCACAUGGGGACUGAGACACUGCCCCAACUCCUACGGGA
rnacentral:rRNA from 1 species